rnacentral:rRNA from 1 species
CCUACGGGAGGCAGCAGUGGGGAAUAUUGGGCAAUGGACGCAAGUCUGACCCAGCAACGCCGCGUGAAGGAAGAAGGCUUUCGGGUUGUAAACUUCUUUUAAGGGGGAAGAGCAGAAGACGGUACCCCUUGCAUAAGCCACGGCUAACUACGUGCCAGCAGCCGCGGUCAUACGUAGGUGGCAAGCGUUGUCCGGCUUUACUGGGUGUAAAGGGCGUGCAGCCGGAGAGAAAAGUCAGAUGUGAAAUCCACGGGCUCAACCCGUGAACUGCAUUUGAAACUGUUUCCCUUGAGUGUCGGAGAGGUAAUCGGAAUUCCUUGUGUAGCGGUGAAAUGCGUAGAUAUAAGGAAGAACACCAGUGGCGAAGGCGGAUGACUGGACGAGAACUGACGGUGAGGCGCGAAAGCGUGGGGAGCAAACAGGAUUAGAUACCCUGUAGUC